UGCAAAAAUGUCAUGCACUGGAAACCUAUUAAGUAAUCUGAUUGCCUGUAUGCCUUCAUUGUGSAAGAACCUGAAGAACAUCACUUGGUGUCAGAAGUGUGGAGUAAGAAUGAAUUCAAGAAGACUUCAGAAAAGGUCACAGAAAAUAAAGGAGAACAAAAACGAAAGAAGAACUGAAACAGCUCCAGGCUUCUUAUACAGGAUCAUCAAAUGUGUAGGACAAAUAUGCAGAACUAUUGGAAGCUGAAGAGCUGAAUUUGAGAAGAGAGUAUGACCGUAUCUUCACCGGUAUGU
rnacentral:lncRNA from 1 species